AAGAAGAGAGGAAUCAACAGCUAGAAAAUGUUACCAGGUUGGCCCGCUGCGGACGCAGAUAUAAUGUGCAGCGGCAGCCAUGUUGGCAGGGGCAACUGUCCCAUCAAAUGUAAUACAGCACAUGGAUAUUAGCUUAACAUCGCCAAGCACAAGUACAUAGUGGAACGGGCAUGCAUUAUCCCCACCAUCCCCAAGCAACAGCGAGGCAAUUUGGAUCCCCUUGAAAACUUUUCAAACACUUAAAAAAAUAUAUUCCUGACAAUAAUUUUACAUUGAAAAAUUUCACCUUGAG